CCCAGGAUCGGGACACCGAGAAGCUAAGCUCCAAAGCGCAGAGCGUCCGCCAAAGCGUCGCCACUCUAUGCUCCUCCGAAAGGGACGGGCAGUUUCUCGGCCUUCUGCGCAUGUCCGCCGGCUGGUUCUUCACCCAGAAUUUCCGAGAGGCCUCGUCAUAGCAUACUUCCUGUCCCUCGAUAUCGCUGUCCCCCAUGGCCCACUUCCGGUCCGUUACUUCUUAUUCACCCUCCAGCUUCCUUUUGCGGCGACCUAGGCCGUAAACUGACACCCCCAUUAAAAAGGCUUCUGUCUCUCGGCGGCCAUGCCGAGAAGGUCGCUCUGUUCUUCCUGCCUGAGGCUGCGUUCUGCUGCCUUUGCCCCUAAAGUAACAAUCCUAGUCUUUCAUCUCUUGGGAAAGCCUGACUUUUUUGCCCUCUUUGGGGCGAGGAGAGAGGAGGGCCUGAGGUCUGACCCAUUUUGCGGUUAGAAAAGAGUUAGGUCGACGUAAUGGCGCCUUCUGAUGACUUUGUCCCUAAAAUGACCAACACAGUUUGUGACUUUUUUGCCCUCUUUGGGGUAAGUAUCAUUUCCUUGGGUGGCUGCUAUUCCAAAUAACCACAGGAGGGCUCUCUUUGCAUGCCCUGUGUUAUAUAUGGUCUUUGUAGUCCCCUUCAGGCUAUCACGCCCAAAAUAACCACAGGAGGGCUCUCUUUGCAUACCCUGUGCUAUAGAUGGUCGUUGUAGUCCCUGUCAGGCUGCUGUGCCCAAAAUAAUGACAGGAGGGUACCCUUUUCAUGCCCUGUGCUAUAGAUGGUUUUUGUAGUCCUGUCAGACUGCUAUGCCCAAAAUAAUGACAGGAGGGUACCCUUUUCAUGCCCUGUGCUAUAGAUGGUUUUUGUAGUCCUGUCAGACUUCUAUGCCCAAAAUAGCCCCAGGAGGGCACUCUUUUCAUGCCCUGUACUAUAUAGAUGGUCUUUGUAGUCCCUUUCUGGCCGCUAUGCCUAAAAUAACCACAGGAGGGCACAAUUUGCAUUCCCUGUGCUAUAGAUGGUCUUUGUAGUCCCUUUCUGGCCGCUAUGCCCAAAAUAACCACAGGAAGGCACUCUUUGCAUGUCCUGUGUUAUAUAUGGUCAUUGUAGUCCCUGUCAGGCUGCUAUACCCAAAAUAACCACAGUUGGGCUCUCUUUGCAUGCCUUGUGCUAGAUAGAUGGUCUCUGUAGUCCCCUUCAAGUUAUCACACCUAAAAUAACCACAGGAGGGCUCUCUUUCCAUACAGUAUGCUAUAGAUGGUCUUUGUAGUCCCUGUCAGGCUGUUAUGCCCAAAAUAGCCACAGGAGGGCUCUCUUUACAAGCCCUGUGCUAUAGAUGGUCUUUGUAGUCCCCUGUCAGGCUGUUAUACCCACAAUAGCCACAGGAGGGCAAACGCUCCAGCAAAGCAAAAGAGCUCUUGCGAAAUUCAGCAAAUCGGCUUCGGCCACGAGACCAGGCACCAAAAAAAAAAAAAAACCACUUCCGGCUUCUCUCCGACCAAAAAAAAAACCCCACUUCCGGCUUCUCCUCCCGGAGCCUCGUGGCUGCAGAGGUCCGUGUUUGGUGGCGGUUUUGCUCGUCUAACCGCACCCAGUUCGCCAGCUCCGCUUUAGCUCCCACAGCCUCAUCACGGCCAACAUCCCCAAUGGGGCCAGCAUCAUGGACGACGACUUGACCGCUCCCCGAAGGCACAGAGGCAUUAUCUACGCCUACGAAUUCUCCACAGACAAGCUGGUGGCAGAGAGCGUCCUUCCUAUCUGCUGCUCCUCUUACAACGAAGUGGCCGGCUGUAGCUACAACAUUCCCCUAUGACAACAUCUAGGCAGGGUGGGAAGAAGGGAAAUCCAGCUGAGCUGGACCCUGGAGAAGGAGAACCCCAAGGCUGGCGUUCCUGCAGACCUCUUUGGAGGGCUCGGAAGCCACGGGUUGGCCAAGCAGGCAGCAGAAGAAGAGGGGGUGAGCACGUGGGGGUCUCCCCAAAGCUUUAAUAACAGCGCUGUGGGAGCGAAGAAGAGAUGGUGGGUAACAGGAACCAUGAUAGAUAGGCUAGAAUCGGGAGAUGAUAAUAAAGGCUUUAGCCCAAGAAUCAGGAGGUAGUAAGACAGGCUGUAGCCCACGUGUGCAGAGACCAUUCUGGGGGACAGGAGGGCUUCCAUUCCUUGCACCUAGCUGAAAUAGUUCAGUCUGCCUUUCCGGAACAGCCACCAACGCUACCUGCAACAUCUGGAGAUCUUAAGAAGAAGAAGAGACUUUGCGAGUGUUUUUCUUGUAAAUAAAAUACCUUUAUUAAGUGUU